UACGGAGGGUGCAAGCGUUAUCCGGAUUCACUGGGGUUAAAGGGUGCGUAGGUGGGCAGGUAAGUCAGGGGUGAAAGACGGUAGCUCAACUAUCGCAGUGCCCUUGAUACUGAUGGGCUUGAAUGAACUAGAGGUAGGCGGAAUGUGACAAGUAGCGGUGAAAUGCAUAGAUAUGUCACAGAACACCAAUUGCGAAGGCAGCUUACUAUGGUUUUAUUGACACUGAGGCACGAAAGCGUGGGGAUCAAACAGG
rnacentral:rRNA from 1 species